GUCCUGUUAGCUCAGUAGGUAGAGCAUUUGACUUUUAAUCAAAGGGUCACAAGUUCGAAUCUUGUACAGGACACCA
rnacentral:tRNA from 1 species